rnacentral:other from 1 species
AAAGGAUAAGAUGAAUAUCCACUCUUCAUCUUGAGGAUACUUUGAGCAACGAUAGUAAUACAAUGUGCGGGAAAGCACUAGGAGGCAACAAAAAUGGAACAAGGUACAGUUAAAUGGUUUAACGCAGAAAAAGGUUUUGGCUUCAUCGAACGUGAAGGUGGAGACGAUGUAUUCGUACACUUCUCCGCAAUCCAAAGCGACGGAUUCAAAUCUUUGGACGAAGGUCAACGAGUAACGUUCGACGUUGAGCAAGGCGCUCGCGGAGCUCAGGCAGCUAACGUUCAAAAAGCUUAAUCUUAAAUGAGGACCGCCGAAUCAAUUGCUGAUUCGGCGGUCUUU